CAUAUAAACUUUCUACUUGAGUCACUCCAUCUAUUAAACUAACCGCAUCAAAAUCCGUUGCGUAGUUUCAAAGGUUUGAGCAUACAUAGGGAUAGACAGACAGAGGCAAGCGACUUUAUUUUAUUAAACGGUUUUAU